GCGAGAGAAAGGCAGCGACCGAGAAAAUAUCUCCUCUCUCUCCCUCCUUCCCUCCUCUUCUCCAGUUCUCCAUGCCGUCGCCGCCGCCGCCGCCUUCUCCUCUUCCCCGUCCCUCACGGCCGCCUCGCCCCCUCCGCCUUCAGCGCCUCCUCCUCCUCCCCUUCCUCUCCUCCUUCCCUGCCUCCGGAUCCAGACCACGUGAUGCGGACGAUGCAGCGCCAUGGAUUAGUCCUGCUGCAAGAGGUGGCUGGAGAAGAUGAGAGGGAGAGAGAGAAGGAAGGAGCGGAGGGAGAAAGAGAGAGGAAAGAGUAGCUGGAGAUGCGUCGGCCGGCGUGCGCGCUGGCAAGGUUGGGCGGGACCUGGCGGUUGGCGGCGGCUCGAUCCACUCCUAAUCGGGAGCUGAGCCUGCAUCUCCGCCACUGCGCCUUGUUUCUCUCUCCACCGCCACCUCUCCUCGCCUCUCCUUCCAAUGUCGGUCGCCGCCGCCCUCCCCGUACCUCCCCCUCAUGGCUCCUCUCUUUAUCACCGGCGCCAUGGCUGUGCUCGGAGGAGGACCGCCGAUGCCAGGUUGACGAGGAUGAUGAGGUAACUGUUGGCGAGGGCAAAGCGAAGUCGUCAGAUCCGUCACCACCGCUAUUCUCCUAUUCACCACCGCCGCUGUUCUCCUACUCGCCGCCUCCGUCGUCCACAUGCUCCUCCUCACGACCAUGAAAGUUGGCUGAGGUCUAGCCUCCCAUCCAUACGCAGUUUUUCAGAUUAUGCAAGUAUAUGCUUGGUCUGCAUAUUAGUACCGGCUAGCGAGCACAGGAACGACGACUUGGAUCUAAUGACUUGAUAUUCCAAUCCACCGAGAAAUCAGUUUUGACUCAAAAUGAUGGUAAGGUGUCACCAAAAGUGCUUUCUAUUCUUCCCAUGCACCACACCGUACCAACAAAGGCAAAAUUUGUUUGUGUGAAAGCAUCUGAACCAUUGGCUUAUUUGUUUCUCUGGUGAAUAAAUUGUGUCUGAAUGCAGCAUGCCUGAACCAUGAGCAUUAUUUGUUUGUCCGCUAAGCAAAUUGUGUCUGGAUGCAGAAAGUGAAAGCAUCAGAUUGAGUGAUUCAGAUCAAUUCUUGGUUGUAUGCCUGUGAGAGAGCUGGCAGGACGAACAAGGAAUUUUACAAAACGGUGCUCAGUGAGCUGGGCUCUCCUUCCACUAAUAUGAAUGCCUAGCCUCAAACUUGCCUUACUUUUUUUGGAAUUGCUCUUUUUAUCUGUUGGAUCAUUCUUUUGUUUGUAAGAAAUUUCUGCAUUUUAGUGUAACCUAAAUUUGCUCAUUCCAGUAUUUGUUGAUAUCAGUAGUGGAAUGUUGUCCUUUCCUCUCUCUCUCUUUCUCUCUCUCUCUCAUUAUUUCAGGUCAUUAGAUUCAUGCAUUACAGUUAACUGUUUUUAGUGGUGUCAUGGUUAUAUUGGGAAAAGGUGAAACUUUGCUUUCCUUUGGAAGUUUAGUUACAACAGGAGCGUGCAUUCUAUAUAUUAAAAAGUUUAAACACCCACCACUACAAUAUCUUCAUAAGAAUCUUUUUUCUACAGUUAGCACAAAGAAGAUGCUUCUGGCCUACUACAUGAACUCGUUCUUGCCGACUUUAUCCUCUGUUUAUUUGCUCCGCGAGGUUGUUUGUUGGUUCGUGGGACGUCUGUGUCGUUAACCAACAAGGUUUCCGAUUUCCUUUUGUUCUACAGGCGUUGUUAUCAUUACUUCCUCUCCCCUCGCUGGCUCGUCAUCUGCUUGCUAUCAAGGUUUGUGCUUCCUGUUUGACCUUUGUCUUCUCAUACUGCUGUAGUACUACCAAGGCACGGUUGAUCUUCUAUGGUCUUCGAAGCAUGACUUUAACUACUGAUACAUACACAACUAGAUGGAUUGGACAUUUAUGAAUGUCAUCAUUGUAUUUAUCUUACAAAAUGUGUGAAUCUAACUAAUUACAAGUGAAAACAUUUCUUGCCAUCGAAACGGAAUGGUAGUUUCCCCUGCAUUGUGAUAAUUAAUUUACAUCUGCAUUAUAGUAAGCUCGAAAUCCGAUAAAGUGUCAUCAGAAAUGAGCAUGGAUUAGUUUAUGAAUAAGAAAGCUUUCUUACUCCAGUGGAGCUUAGUGUCGCAGCAAUAUCUCGGUUUUGCUUCUCCGCAAGAACUCUAACUAUAUGUAAUAGUGCUAUAACUUUCAGCAUCGCAUAAAGUACAUCAAAAGUUGUCCUCAAUCACCACUACUAUUCUAAUUUUCAUUGCAGCUUUGUGAAAUAAGUUUUGUCAUCUCACUGAAUGUUAAAAACAAUCACGGUACCUUAAGUAAAAGCAUAGAACUGCCAAAGUAGCACAGUCCUUUCAAAGUAAAAUUCUCACUCACCGUUUUGAUUCAGCAGGAUUGAUUUUCAAAUAAUAUAGGAGAGUGGAUGGUUCUAUUCUUCGGUUUUGAAUGGCAUAACAUAAGGAGAGUAGCCUAUUGUAAAUUUCGCAUACUGAUCCAGAGUCAUCAAUCCUUUCGGAGGUGAUUCCGUCGCAAUCUUGGUUAAGUGUGUUCACUUUGCAGCAAUGUCACCAUGGGAUCACAAUCACUUGAUCGAACAUAUAAAUCCAGCUAGAGUACCCGCCAUUCCAGCGCCCUUCCCGUCUCAAAUUCAUCCUGCCCGCUCGAUUCGCCUCGCUGGCCCUGGUAAAAGUACUUUUCAUCGACCUGGUAAAGAUCCAGUUGCUCAUUAUUUUGUAUGCCGCGUAAUGGGGCUAGGAGCAACUGAUGAGUGGGCCAGGCUUGCGCGCGGGCCAGCCUCGCAGCGACGCGGUCGGGGCGUGCUUCUGUCGAUGAAAAGCAGGGCCGGAUCGCUCGUGUGCUGCGGCCAAUCGAUCGUGGGGUUGUCAGGGCGUUUUUUACCGUGUUCGUUUGCACCCAGUGGUGGCGCCUCCGCUUCAACCGCGUCUGGCCCCAUCUGUCAGUCUCGUGGGUGCGUGGCAGUUUGGUCGUCCUUGGUCAUGUGAGCACCUCCGCUCGGUCCGCUGGGUAAAACAGGGUUUUCGGCCUCUACGUGCUGCUAAGCGGGAUUGCUUGGCCUCGUCUCGCUGCAGGUGGUCCCUUUCUAUCCUUGGUCCCAUGCGUUGGGUGAGUUGUGUUUCUCUUUAGGUUUCCCUAGAAGUUACAGCGCCUGCGAGAGGUGUUUCUGACCGGGUGCGUGGUUUCCUUCUGCUCUGCUCUGCCUAUGUGCCUCGCCUCUCUGCCCACUUCCCCUCGCCUGCGCCUCCUUGUCUUCUCUCAUCGAGUCGCCAUUGUCGCUUGUCGUAGUUGGUCAUCGAUAACCAGCGGCUUGCUCGUUGCCUGCUUAUCCUGUCGUCGGCUUGUUUCUUCAUGGCUCCUCGCGCUGCUGCUGUUGCGUUUGGCUAGGGGCUGCUGCGUCUGCUUUGUUGUCUGCCUGCGCGUUUGCUUGUUCUUUCUUUGUGAGGUCUUCCUUUGCGAUGUCUGGCUGCCUGAUCGGCUAAUUUUGUCACUCCCAGUUUGCCAAGUUUCUGCUGUGGUUCAGUUCACGUGACGCCUUGCACCCUGCCUUUCUUCUUGCCAAGAUGACAGCAGUUAAACAAGAAGAAGCAGACACAACCAGUGAUAUCAGCGGUAGCCAAAUUACCCAUGUAGGUGUUCUGUUUGCUAUUCAUUAAUGCGUGGGCGAUGAAUAUACGCAAAGCAGGUUCAAUCCAAAAGUUCAAAGGCAAGAAAAUCCAACUAAAGCCUGGAAAGUACAUUCUCCGUGACGGGACUACCGCUGUCACAACUACUUUAUCAAGGGUGUUUGACAAAAGAGUCACCAUUGGCUGGAGAACUUCUUCCCUCAGGCACACAUGAGCAAAGGGCAAGCAUAUGCUUUCACCUUCAAAUGCACUUCCAAGGGACUGCGCCUGAUCGUCUACUCAAUAUAAGCAAGUUGCAAGAGCCGCUUGUUAUAUAACUUAAUGUUAGUAUAAAUGCCUACCAAGACUUUGUGUUUAUCAUCCUUUUAGAUCUUAUGUAAUCCCUUAAGACCAUCUUGCGUGUUUAACUAUCGGCUAUUUCUUGCUUAGACUGUUGUGUUGUAUGCUUUUAAAACAGCAAUGAUAAAAGAAAUAUAUGCUCACUCUUCCAA